rnacentral:sRNA from 1 species
AGAGCCGGGAACCCUGACAGCACUUGGCUGCUGACAAACAACCUGCUCCGUGGAGCGCCUGAAACACCAGUCUUUGGGGCCAGUGCCUCAGUUUCAAUCCAGGUAACCUUUAAAUGAAACUUGCCUAAAAUCUUAGGUCAUACACAGAAGAGACUCCAAUCGACAAGAAGCUGGAAAAGAAUGAUGUUGUCCUUAAACAACCUACAGAAUAUCAUCUAUAACCCGGUAAUCCCGUAUGUUGGCACCAUUCCUGAUCAGCUGGAUCCUGGAAGUUUGAUUGUGAUACGUGGGCAUGUUCCUAGUGACGCGGACAGAUUCCAGGUGGAUCUGCAGAAUGGCAGCAGCGUGAAACCUCGAGCCGAUGUGGCCUUUCAUUUCAAUCCUCGUUUCAAAAGGGCCGGCUGCAUUGUUUGCAAUACCUUGAUAAAUGAGAAAUGGGGACGGGAAGAGAUCACCUAUGACACGCCUUUCAAAAGAGAAAAGUCUUUUGAGAUCGUGAUUAUGGUGCUCAAGGACAAAUUCCAGGUAGGUUUUGGAGAGGGACAGGUUGAGUCCUCAUUAGUGAGCAGGAGUGCACAGGGGUGCUUUUCACAUUUGUGAGCCCAGCCUUAUAUUUCCUACACCUGAGAUAUAGUUUGUUUGGCUUUGUAGUUUUUCU